GAGUGCAUUCAGCUUAUAUGGAGAGCUGUCAAAGAAAAAAGUGCAACCCGAAGUCACUAAUGCACCGACGAGUGCAUUCAGCUCAUAUGGAGAGCUGUCAAACAAGAAAAUACAAUUCAAAGUGACUAAUGCACCGACGAGUGCAUUCAGCUGAUAUGGAGAGCUGUCAAACAAGCAAUUGCAAUCCACAGUCACUAAUGCACCGACGAGUGCAUUCAGCUCAUAUGGAGAGCUGUCAAACAAGCAAUUGCAAUCCACAGUCACUAAUGCACCGACGAGUGCAUUCAGCUCAUAUGGAGAGCUGUCAAACAAAGAAGUACAAAAUAAUGUAAGUACGUAAAAGAAUGUAACUAUGAAAGUAUUUGGAGAGUGAAGAGGACCGUCUAUGACGGGGGUGGUGGUGGGUCUCUUCACACUCUCCUAAUAAUUGAUACUUGCAGCUACGUUUCCUUUCUUUUCACAGGAAGAGUACAAUGUAUGACAGCUGACCAGUAUCAAUGGUGAAAAUCCUGUUCUAUGAAGGGAGGAAAGGAACCAGGUCUUCCCAAUGCAAGCAUAAAGAUAAGUAAAACACAUACAUUUACAAAUGUAUUGCAUGCAGAUUGAUUAGAACUGAUUAUAACUUUUCAUCGUAGGUUCAAUGAGAAUAUACUCUGUACACCAUUGCAAGAAAUUUUGGUGAGAAAUAGGAAAGUACGAGUGGAUUCAUCAGGAAGUAUCAGACCAGGGUGUACAGCAUGAUAGUUGAAGAUAUUCGGUAUCGUCUCAACCAAUUUGUAUAGAAAAUUUUUUUUUCAAUAAUUACUGUCAAUUAUCUUAUAAAUGUACGCAGUUCAUGU